rnacentral:rRNA from 1 species
UUUUAAGCUUUUCAGAGGAAUUUGCUCUUUAAUGGAUAAAACACCAAAAUCUUACUUAAAUUUGUCAUUUCAAUUUGUAUACCACUAUAAAAACAAUUUAUAACUUUAAUUGUUUAAAUUUACAAAAUUAGAAUAUAUUAAGUCAAGGUGCAGUAAAAAUUUAAGAAUGAAGUGAAUUACAUUACUUUUUAGUGAAAUAAAUUUAUAAUAAUACUUA